rnacentral:tRNA from 1 species
GGAGGUGGUACAGUGUAUGCUUAGCAUGCAUGAGGCCCUGGGUUCAAUUCCCAGUGCCUCCA